AGCAAAGGGAUUUCCAUCUGUUACAGGCCAAAAGCUAACCAAAGACACAUAUGACCUUUUGAGUACUGUAACUCUGCCAGGAUAGACUGGUUGGAAUUGGUUCUGGCCAGUCCUGGGCAAUCUUCCCCAAGAGAGAUAGAAGCGCCACCGGUAAAUGCUGACUUUAGCCGAGAUCUCAGUAUUACUAACAGGGUGGAAUGUUGCAAUGAAUAUGAUUUCACACUCCUUUUCAUUGACUUUCUCAACAGGUAGGAUGAGGGCAGUUGUAAAGGGAAGGAAUUCGGGAGCCCUUCGUACCAUGACACUUUUGGAAGAAUGCUUUCAGUCUUUCGACCCCCAAAAUCACUCUAAAGGUAAAGAGAUACAAUUACUCUGA
rnacentral:lncRNA from 1 species